rnacentral:lncRNA from 1 species
GGUAUCAUUGCUAGAUGGUCACUUCGAUUGGUAUAAAAAUUUAUUCCUGUGCUAUCAGCUUAGGUUCAAACCUAUGAGGUCACAUACAUUAGAGUUCAUGAUCCGAUCGGAUGGUUGAUCAACGAUUAAGAAUCGGUCUAGGGUUAAAUUGAAGAAAAAAUUAGCCUUUUUCUUGUAGGAUCUUCCAGAUCUAAUGAGAUCUGGGACAGAAUAUUUCAAAAAAAAUAUCCUACAGUAUUUCAAAUCUAAGAUCUAUUAGAUCUAAUUUCUAUUAUCUGAUAUUAAAUCU